AGAGUUUGAUCCUGGCUCAGAACGAACGCUGGCGGCGUGCUUAACACAUGCAAGUCGAACGCGAAAGAGGUCUUCGGACCUUGAGUAGAGUGGCGCACGGGUGAGUAACGCGUAGGUAAUCUACCCCUUUAUCWGGAAUAACUCGUCGAAAGGCGAGCUAAUACCGGAUAUUCUCAGAUUUAUGCGAAUAGGUAUGAGGAAAGGUGACGAUCCGCAAGGAGUUACCGUAGAGGGAUGAGCCUGCGUCCCAUUAGCUAGUUGGUGGGGUAAAGGCCCACCAAGGCAACGAUGGGUAGCGGGUCUGAGAGGAUGAUCCGCCACACUGGAACUGGAACACGGACCAGACUCCUACGGGAGGCAGCAGUGAGGAAUUUUGCGCAAUGGGGGCAACCCUGACGCAGCGACGCCGCGUGGGUGAUGAAGGCUUUCGGGUCGUAAAGCCCUGUCAAGUGGAAAGAAAGGCYGRCGGAAUAACAAGACGUCRGAUUGACGGUACCACUAAAGGAAGCACCGGCUAACUCUGUGCCAGCAGCCGCGGUAAUACAGAGGGUGCGAGCGUUGUUCGGAAUUACUGGGCGUAAAGGGCGCGUAGGCGGCUUUAUAAGUCAGAUGUGAAAGCCCCCGGCUUAACUGGGGAAGUGCAUCUGAAACUGUGAGGCUUGAGUAUGGGAGAGGAAAGUGGAAUUCCCGGUGUAGAGGUGAAAUUCGUAGAUAUCGGGAGGAACACCUGUGGCGAAAGCGACUUUCUGGACCAAUACUGACGCUGAGGCGCGAAAGCGUGGGGAGCAAACAGGAUUAGAUACCCUGGUAGUCC
rnacentral:rRNA from 1 species